rnacentral:rRNA from 1 species
UAGGGAAUCUUCCACAAUGGACGCAAGUCUGAUGGAGCAACGCCGCGUGAGUGAAGAAGGUUUUCGGAUCGUAAAGCUCUGUUGUUGGUGAAGAAGGAUAGAGGCAGUAACUGGUCUUUAUUUGACGGUAAUCAACCAGAAAGUCUCGGCUAACUACGUGCCAGCAGCCGCGGUAAUACGUAGGUGGCAAGCGUUGUCCGGAUUUAUUGGGCGUAAAGCGAGCGCAGGCGGAAUGAUAAGUCUGAUGUGAAAGCCCACGGCUCAACCGUGGAACUGCAUCGGAAACUGUCAUUCUUGAGUGCAGAAGAGGAGAGUGGAAUUCCAUGUGUAGCGGUGGAAUGCGUAGAUAUAUGGAAGAACACCAGUGGCGAAGGCGGCGCUCUGGUCUGCAACUGACGCUGAGGCUCGAAAGCAUGGGUAGCGAACAGG